CUGGGAAGAUGAAUGUCUGAUGAGGAAAGCUGCAUUCAGUGAAUGAAACCAGCUCAAGAGAGAAGCCUUGAGGCUGCAUCUGGGGUCCAGAGUUAACAGCAUUCCUUGAGUCUUGGAGGAAACUUUGGCCUUGACCUUUUCAGCAGUGCUUGAAUGGUUAAAACUGGUGCCUCUUCAGGAAGGACUGAAAAGAUUUUAUAUAAAGAGACACACAUGGGUCCUUUGGGAUCUGGGGGCAUAAUGUUAUCGUUUGGGUCAAGAAUGACUUCCAAAAGACCAUGUGCUCCAAGGUGGGGCUUAUGGCAGGGGGUUUCCUCUUUGAAAUGAGAAUGGACCACCUUCUCAGCAGUUCCCAGCAACAUCUUGAAUGGGGAGAGCUCUUCUGUUUCUUCAAGUAAAACUUCUGCACACGUGACAAGAAAUGCUGAGCAAAAUGGUACUGUCUGGAAGGUCAGAAGGCUUCGCAGAGGAGGGGACAUUGAAGCUGAGUCUUGAAGAAGCACAGGAGAGCUCUAAAGCGAAGAGGAGGAAAAGUGUGUGCUCAGGUCCACAGCCCAUCAAAGCAGAGGCAUGGCCGGUGAGCACCAGUGUUCCCUAAGUGAAGUCUCCCAGGGUUGAGCAGCACCUCUGAGACUCCAGGUGACUUAUAGAGCUUCUCCAGGUUGUGCUCAUUUUGAGUCCCAGCGCCAGUGAGCAGCAGGCACCACAGGGACAUUGCAUAUAUUCGUGACUUUGAUCUCCAUUUGUUUAUCAGGUAGUUGCUGUCUAGCCUCACUCAUUGCAGGUGAAGGCAGGAAUUUGAGGAUCACAUGGCUACUCAUGGGUCCCCCAUGAGUACUCAGUCCUUUCCCCCCAGGUGAGGAGGCCAAUUUCAGUGCACUCAUUUGGUGUCUCCCAUGGGACAAGCAUGCUGUCCACAGACUUAUUAUAUGAUAAAGCCGGAAUGAGCCACG